GCCCAGGUGGCGAAACUGGUAGACGCGCUAGUUUCAGAGACUAGUUCUCUUUAAACGGGAGUGUGGGUUCGAAUCCCACCCUGGGCACAA
rnacentral:tRNA from 1 species